GGCAAACUUGGCAUGUGAUACCUUUUCGGAAAGCCCAAAGAGAGCCCUCCGACGAAAGAAGGCAAGACAAUGGAACCUUUCCAUUGACUUUUUGUCGACUCCAAAUUUUGACCUUUAAGUACUUUUUCGGGCAUUUUCGUGAUUUGUGCUAUAUUACGGACCCAAAAUUACUCUUUCAAGCAUUGUUUUCGAAUAUUUUUCAUGCAUCAAAGCUCGUUAAGACUAGAUGGGGUAUCCCUACAUGGCGGGUGGGACCCACGGCGAACGGUUCAUCAAGACUUAAAAAAAGAAUAUAUACGAUUGCAUUGCAUAUACUAACGGAUGCGAUCAUACCAGCACUAAUGCACCGGAUCCCAUCAGAACUCCGCAGUGAAGCGUGCUUGGGCGAGAGUAGUACUAGGAUGGGUGACCUCCCGGGAAGUCCUCGUGUUGCAUCCCUCUUUUUUUUUUUUUUGGUUAAAACUUUAUGACUCCAUAACUUGUACACAG
rnacentral:rRNA from 1 species